GAUUGGAAACGCUUUGUCGCACACAAGAAGUGUAUGAAGAAAACUGCAAAUUCUAGUCACGCUAAAAUUAGUGUCGCUUUUUGGUUUGGUGUAUGCAUGUAUCCUGCCUAUAUAGUCUUCAUCUAACGAAAGUAAAAGAAAUGAAAGGUUGGGUUUUGAAAAAGAAUUGCACAACUAAAAUAAUUUUUGGACUUUUUGUCGUCAACAUUGUAUUUUUGCAACUUUAUCGACUCUAUGGUCAUCAUGUUUAGUUUAACGUACCUAAUGGACCUGAAUUUUCGUUGAGCAAGUUUUUGACCAUUGAUACCACAACACAUAAAACAACAAAAGUUUCUAUAAGCAAGAUGAGACAAAAUGAAAUAAAUCCUGAUGCUGCCAACGAAAACACAGAAACGUCGGAAGUUUUAUCCGUGAGCUUAUUCAUGCGGCUAACUUCCAUUCACAAAAAACGAUUUUACUGUGAUUUUCUGAGGACUAUGGUUUUGUUAUGACCUUCAUCAUAUGGAAAGUUGGUCUUGGUGUUUGACAAAGAGUCUGCUAAUGAUAGAGCUCUAGCAAAGAUCGUUAGAGCUCAGUUUAGUAGAUCCUUCUCUGAUCGCAUCCUUGAAAUUGCUUUUGAGCCUUUACCACGUAGCCACGAUACACUUUUAAAACUCCCUUGGCGCAGUCGAGAUACAGGUUACAACAGACAAAUCUGGAGUAGCGUUUACAUAGAUUUGUACACAAAAAGUUCAAUAAUUGCUUGGGUUGAUUCAGACAGUGCAUUUUCAGCUGCCGUUACUUGUCAUUUGAUGUUUAAUGGUACACGACUUCGAGUUAUUGGUACUGACUGUACGUUGAAAGAAUCACAUUUUAUUAGAUCGUGUGAUAAAAGCGUGCUACUUUCUCUUGGAUUACCUGCCGUGAGUGACUUCAUGUUGCAUUUCCCAGUUUAUAUAUAUCGCAACACAUUUAAAAAUUGUAGAAAGUAUUUAAUCAAGCGACAUCAAGCAAAACAUUUUGAAGAAGUAUAUAAAUACAUAAGUGCUCGAAGCAAAAUUUGUCCAGUAACUACAGAGCUUAACUAUGCCUUGCACUUUGAGAGAGAUCAAUACGACUGGACCUUUAAAAUUUGCUCUUGCCCUUGGGAUAAUUUUAACAGGUGCUUUCAAUCUAGAGCUAAAAUUAGAACAGAAGAUAUCAGACCGAUCUUAGCAAAUCCUCCGUUAUGUGUACAUACGGGAAAACCUAAUUCAGCAUUUGAAUCAGCUCAAUUAAUUUUAACUAGCUACUGCUUGUCAAACAAGGAGGCUGGAUUAAAAGCAAGACACUGCAUAAAUGAAAGUGACUAUCAAAUUACCAAAAGUUUAAUUCUUUUCAAAUAAGGGAGAGCAUCGGAGACGUGUGUUGGAAACAUGACAGGAAUAUGUCUUGACAUUCUAAAGAGACAUAUCGCCUAUUUGGCUCAGAAAUAAAAAGUAAAAAACGUACAAUGGACUGGAACAACGUAGAGAAAGUUGAAGCUUUUGCAAAAGAAGUCGGAAGUAGUUGUCCAGUAAUUCAUAACGGCAGACCUGGAAAAAAGAUCCCAAUUGUUUGAACCUUUUUUUGAAAUAAGUUUUCUAAUUUAAAAAAUAUUGAUAUGCCAUUUUUGUAGCUUUUGAUACUCAGAAAUUUGGCCAGCCUUAGUUCUUUGAAGAAUGUUGAUUGUUAACGUGCUCCUUUCACCAAAAAGUUUUUUAGCAAUAUGUAUCGAACGCCUUUACUACCUUAUGUCAAUGAUAAUCUUUCUAUGAGGUGCUUCUAUCAUUAUAUGCAGUGUAUUUAUCAUUAUAUGCAGAGCUCAUGUUAUUAUGCGUGGUGCUUUGUUCGGUACAUGCGGUAAAAGAUGUCUGUUCAUUAAAAUUCUCGCAAUCCUC